rnacentral:rRNA from 1 species
CUCGUAGGCGGCCAACUAAGUCAGACGUGAAAUCCCCCGGCUUAACCAGGGAACUGCGUCUGAUACUGGAUGGCUUGGGUUUUGGGAGAGGGAUGCGGAAUUCCAGGUGUAGCGGUGAAAUGCGUAGAUAUCUGGAGGAACACCGGUGGCGAAGGCGACAUCCUGGACCAACACUGACGCUGAGUGAGCGAAAGCCAGGGAGCAAACG